UAUCCUACGGGGGGCAGCAGUGAGGAAUAUUGGUCAAUGGGCGAGAGCCUGAACCAGCCAAGUCGCGUGAGGGAAGACGGUCCUAUGGAUUGUAAACCUCUUUUGCCGGGGAGCAAAAAGCGGUACGUGUACCGCAUCGAGAGUACCCGGAGAAAAAGCAUCGGCUAACUCCGUGCCAGCAGCCGCGGUAAUACGUAGGGGGCAAGCGUUAUCCGGAUUUACUGGGUGUAAAGGGAGCGUAGACGGCGCGGCAAGUCUGAAGUGAAAGGCAGGGGCUUAACCCCUGAACUGCUUUGGAAACUGCC
rnacentral:rRNA from 1 species